AGCCCGCACGACCCUUGCUCCCCGAUCCCAUCUCGACCUCCAUCCCGCCGCCACCUCCUGCCUCGCCCCGCCCCGCCCAGCCUCACUGCGCGCCGCCCGCCGCCCGCCGCCGACGCGCCGCGCACCGCAGCCGCGCCCGCACCCAUUUCCCAUCGAUGCGCCAAACAGGGGCGAUGAUGGACGGCGCCGCCCAGCUCCUGUCCGACGGAGUCGCCGGGUUCCCGCUCUCGGGGCCAACCCCUCCCCUGUGUCGGCUCGCGCAUCGGCUUGGAGGCCCCUCGGGGCUGCCGCCGGUGCGGGAGUCCUGCGCAGCCGUGAGGGCUGGGGACCAAGCGGCGGGGCCCGUGGUGCGUUCCUGUUGAGGGCUUGCUGGGGUUGGCCGGGAUCUGAGCCGCCGUCGAUGGAUUUCUCACAGAUCGUUGUACCAUCGUCCCGGUCGCCGCCGCGUCAGUUCCACACCGCUACAGCACAGCCUACCACCGCCACUCCAUUGGCUUGGAUUUGCUUGCGGCAUGGGCUGGGAACUGUACGGUGUUGUCUGAUGCAUGUUCCGCACUGGGAGGUUUGGUCGGCUGACGCUAGGUAUGAGCAGCUCUUGAGCCUGAUUGCUGGAUGUGCGCACGCAUGCAUGUAUACUUCUCACUUGCACUGCUUAUACAACACAUUGCAUGUACACCAUGGCCGUGGACAGGCGAACGUGCUCCUACUCCUCACAAGGCACCCACAGUCUAUUAGCAAGCCAAUCCAAAACUUCACCAUGCAUUUUUUUGAAAGGACAACUAAGUAUCUUUGUUAGUAACAUCUUUGUCAGAAAUUAGAAAAAACGGCAGUGCAUUAGUUGAGCUAAUCACCUAGCUUCAUCUCUUGGAUUAUGCAUUGAUAGUAUGGCACAUGUUGUAUCGUUAUAAGCAAUUUUUGUUAGGAGGUAAGAUUUUAGUGUCGUCGUUCAGUUUUUGUUACAUACAAAAUGAAUAUGAUUAGUUAAUUUUGUUUUCUUUUAAGAGGUAUUUCUCUCACGAGCCUUUGUGUUAUCCAUGUGAAUUCCACUAGAUUUAUCGUCCGUGUACCUAAAUUGUGCAUAUUAUCAAAUUUCUGGAAAAAAAGUUGAGCGCUUAUUGUGGCCAUCAUCUGCAUAGCACCACACCUAGAGCUAAAAUCAAGUAACCUUCAUGGAUUUUGUUGACAAGAAAGACAACGAACUUAAUUUAACGGCUUGAAGUCAAUUGCACAUGUCUCAUACUGCAUUGAACCUUGGCCGAAGCACUCGACCACGACAAGCAGCAGCUCGGGAAGCCUUUGCAAUUCAUGUAUUUACAACAUCUACAGUUCAUGUAUUUACUGUCAUGCAUUGCACCUUCAUGGUUUUUGUUGUACUUCUGCAUUUGCAGCAUUUACAGCUUAAUGCAAUCAGGAAUUGGUUAUAGAUUUCAUGUGAUUUAAUUUCUAAAUGUUAACUACAGUGACAACUUAUGACUUUCAUAGGUUUUAUUUCCAUUGAGAGAGAGCGGGCAAUGGAUCGUGAGGUGGAAUGAAAUUAUAAGCAAAUUGAUCUGACCAUCUCUUGUUGUCAGGGAAUCUGUGUGAUCUGUUCUACUUUGACUUGGAGUGUACAACUAUGAUAUUGUACGUGAUGAUUUUUUUUUGAUUCUGCUACUAGAGGUCAGUCAGAGGUGGUAAUUAUUAGUGGCAAAAAAGAGGCGGAAGGCUAUGAAAGAAGUGUUCUUCCCUUAUUUUUAUGAAGGUAAGGUCUUGUUCUUGGAUUCCUGCUGCUCUAGAUUGCUUGGCAGCUCUAAUUUAUCACUUCAUGACCUUAUGCUCCACCAUUAUCUUUGAACACUUGAUACUUAUUUACUUUUAUUUGUUGGCUUCUUUUUUAUAGUCAUCUGAUUUAAAAAUGCUAGCAUGUGCCACUUUAGUAUCUUUCAAUUUCAGCAAACAUAUUGGAUUAUCUUGACAUAUGUUGGCAUUGACAACAUAAUAUAGAUUGUCACUAUUAAUUUCAAUGUUCAUGCUCCAUCCUAUUUAAAUUCGUAUUUGGAUGGAAGUCAACACACUAAGAACUGUAUGCUUAAUGAAUGAUGUUCACAGCAAUUACUCGAAUUUCUUGCAUUCACUUGUGCAGACCGAUGGUUAAUUGUGAACUAUGUAUAUUCUGUAGGUUCUUCUUAGUGAGAUCAAACAAAGCACAAUCGUAUUUUCUCGAACUAUACACAUGCUAUGAUUUUCAUGCUCUCUGUAGUAAUUAUGUUGAAUUCUCAUAAUUCCUUUUUCAUUAUUAUGCCAAACAAUUUGUAUGCUAAAAACAUACUUCAUAAUCCCAUCUCCCCGCGUCGUCCCGAUUUGUUCCAGCUGGGCACUGCCUCGGCUGCAAAGCGUGUGUUAUCCCAUGAAGCAGGCCCUCCUUUGCAAGGCUGACGACGAUAGCUUCAACUUCGCCGCCUAUUCUGGUCGAUGAUGUCAUUGAUAAUAACCAGGAAGUUUUCACUGCUCAGUUCAUCCAGUUGAAUCCUUCUAUUGUAAUUCUAUUCCCUACCUUUUCUUACUCGUAGGAAAUUCAAGUGUGGUACACAUGUGAGUAUCUUCUCCUUCCCUCUAUUGUAUGCAUGUGGUCAUUUGUUAUCCCGAUUAAGAAUCAAGAUCCACUACAUUCUUGAAUAUUGAAGACUGUUUUAGUUGGUCCAGAUUAAACUUGAUAAAUACAAUUUCCUUGUUGGUUCCAUCUGAGUUGUAUAAUUGAUUUGGGCAGUUUUCAGUAAUCUUAAGCUGUCUUCAGAUUUUAGCUUCCUCAAUCAUUCUGAAUUAUUUAACCUCAGUAUGAGGUACAUGUGUUCCAAAAAUUAAUCCUGAGAAAUUUGUAGUUGACUAGUUGGGUCUGUUUGAUUUGUUUAGUAGACUGCAACGGCAGUCACAAUUGUUCAGAUCUAUUCUAAAGCUGCAUUAUUAGCACUGCAAUAUCUUUGUUACUUCAACCAAAUAGUCCAGUCGUGUCUUAUUGAUUUGGACGGGUUCUUACUAAUCUUUAAGCCAACUUCAAAUUUUAGCCUGCUCGGUCAAUCUGGAUUAUUUAGUGUCAAUUUUGAUGCAUGUCUUUAAUAAAAUAAGAAACUGAUUUUGGGUGCUAAAAUAAACACUAAACACUACUUGUUCAUGGCGACUAUGUGUAGAAAGACGAUCAUGGUGGAGAUCCCGACGGUCGACGUGAAGCCGGGAUGGAAUAAGGGCACGAAGAUCACCUUCCUAGAAGGAACAAUCUGAUUUUUUCGGUACAGUUAUGUGUUCCAAAAAGUUAUUGUGAUGUAAUUUUUAUAUUAACACUAAUCUAUGAAGUUAUGUUUCCAGACAUUUCACUUUUUGCAUCAGCUGAGGCACAUUUUAUUUUCAAAUAAUUUCUGAAGUAAAAGUUGUGAAUGAACUGCAUAAUCUUUCAUGUGUCUGAAUUACACUUGAAAUAAAAAAUUAGAUAGCAAGGUGCGAGGAAAUGUGAGAAAAGUUGUCCAAAACCGAAGAACCUUUUUUACUUUUCUUCCCAUUACAUGUUUGCUAUUUACACUAUGCUUUAUUUUUACUAUAAUGUCAAAAUUAUCAUGUUUUAAGAUGAAUGGUAAAUCAAAUAAGGAAAAAACUAUGGUGGCCAGAUUUGGUAGCCCUUAGCCCUUAUCAUGUUUUUAUAUCCAAAAUACUGUUUGAUCCUUGUUCAGUCUUAUUUGCAGCAUAAACUAUGUACAGUAAUCAUUAGACCAUCUUUGAAGAUCUCACGAACAAAAGCAGAAUGGUUCUUUCUAUACUGUUCGACCCCCCCUCCCCCCCCCUUGCGUUCUCUCGCAGGGAGUGGCUAGCGCGCAACACUGCCAUGCUCCUCUGCUGCUCCGUCAUCACAGGGUGGGACGGCGACCUCGCCUUCCUGUUCAUUGUUCUGUCGGUAGCGACGUUCUUUGUCCAGGAUCAUCCGGACAGGGAGGUCCUCCAGGCCAUGCGUCUAGGCAUGUACUGCAACGCCGACCACAUGGCUAAGAUGGUCGUUGCCGCAACCGAGUUCCGUGCUCUCCGUUCUUCAGUAAAUCCAGAUGCGGAAACUAAAAGGCGAGUACCAUGGGAUCAUGAAGUAUAUAAAGCAAAGGAGGAGGAGUGCCAUCUCCUCUCCAGCAAGAUAUUUUUUUUGCUGGGGAAUGAACGAAUUGAAUGCAAGAUUGCAUUGUUACAAGGACAGAGAGUGGACCACCACCUUCAGUUUCUCAGAUUCCCUGUUUGCAUUCGCCAUUCUCAACAAGCACCAGGAUGUGGCUUUGGUUCUGCACAAACAAUAUCUUCAAUGGUUUCUAGAUCAAGCCCUAUGUUCUUUAUCUGAACAAUAGACAUUGUAAUUCUUCCAUCCAUUACCUCUGAAAGUCAAGAAUCGAAAGAAAAGUCAUUGGCAUAUCUCUGUCACCAAGGAAGGUUCGUUAGACAGAAAAAUGACCUCUGGUUAUGUAUGAGAUGAUGCAAUGCACAUAUCUCUGAAUGAAGCACAACAGGAAUUUACAUCCUGUAAUGCUAACUGUUGAUCAUUCUUCUCAGAAGUAUCAAGUCAUUAUCUCAUUUGCCCCCUA